AUGUUCUCUGUAGCUCCGUUGCUGCUGCUGCUGGCUGCUGCAUCCUGUGUGAAGUGUGAACAGCUGACACAGCCAGCCUCUGUGACUGUGCAGCCAGGUCAACGUCUGACCAUCAGCUGUCAGGUCUCUUAUGACCUGAGCUACUACACAGCUUGGAUCAGACAGUCUGCUGGGAAAGGUCUGGAGUGGAUUGGGAUGAAAGAUAGUUAUGGAACUGUGCACUUCAAAGGUUCACUGAAGAACAAGUUCAGUAUUGAUUUAGACACUUCCAGUAAAACAGUGACUCUGAAUGGACAGAAUAUGCAGCCUGAAGACUCUGCUGUGUAUUACUGUGCCAGAGUCACAGUGACACAAACCAGCAGCAGAGCUGAACAAAAACCCCAAAGAGCCUGA